GAGGAAAGAGGGAGGAGGGUAGAAUACAUGCAAGUCGAGCGAACGGACGAGAAGCUUGCUUCUCUGAUGUUAGCGGCGGACGGGUGAGUAACACGUGGAUAACCUACCUAUAAGACUGGGAUAACUUCGGGAAACCGGAGCUAAUACCGGAUAAUAUUUUGAACCGCAUGGUUCAAAAGUGAAAGACGGUCUUGCUGUCACUUAUAGAUGGAUCCGCGCUGCAUUAGCUAGUUGGUAAGGUAACGGCUUACCAAGGCAACGAUGCAUAGCCGACCUGAGAGGGUGAUCGGCCACACUGGAACUGAGACACGGUCCAGACUCCUACGGGAGGCAGCAGUAGGGAAUCUUCCGCAAUGGGCGAAAGCCUGACGGAGCAACGCCGCGUGAGUGAUGAAGGUCUUCGGAUCGUAAAACUCUGUUAUUAGGGAAGAACAUAUGUGUAAGUAACUGUGCACAUCUUGACGGUACCUAAUCAGAAAGCCACGGCUAACUACGUG
rnacentral:rRNA from 1 species